rnacentral:rRNA from 1 species
GAUGAACGCUGACAGAAUGCUUAACACAUGCAAGUCUACUUGAAUUUGGGUUUUUUAACUUAGAUUUGGGUGGCGGACGGGUGAGUAACGCGUAAAGAACUUGCCUCACAGCUAGGGACAACAUUUGGAGACGAAUGCUAAUACCUGAUAUUAUGAUUUUAAGGCAUCUUAGAAUUAUGAAAGCUAUAUGCGCUGUGAGAGAGCUUUGCGUCCCAUUAGCUAGUUGGAGAGGUAACGGCUCACCAAGGCGAUGAUGGGUAGCCGGCCUGAGAGGGUGAACGGCCACAAGGGGACUGAGACACGGCCCUUACUCCUACGGGAGGCAGCAGUGGGGAAUAUUGGACAAUGGACCAAGAGUCUGAUCCAGCAAUUCUGUGUGCACGAUGACGUUUUUCGGAAUGUAAAGUGCUUUCAGUUGGGAAGAAAAAAAUGACGGUACCAACAGAAGAAGUGACGGCUAA